AUCGUAACUCGCAUCUCGAUCAACUAUUUUGAAAAUUAGGACGCCGAUCGACAACUCUUCAGACAAUGUGUGAAUGAGACAGGCAUCAAUCGGGAGGAAUUAGAAGCUUUGAGGGAAGCAGCUGCGGAUGCAUCAUUGUCCAGCGAGCAAACAAGUUUCGUUUGCUGUUUGACUGCUCCAUUGAUUUCAGAUCAACAGCUCAACAUAACAAGCGUCCAAAACAUAGCGAAUAGACCCGGUUGCGAUGAAUCCAACGUCGACUUAUCUACCGUCAUCAGCUCAUGCGAAUCGGAUGGAGUCACUGCAAACACCUUGGAUUCAUGCGAAAAUAUCGCUCCUUUCAUGCACUGUGUCUACACAAAAUUACGUGAAGAAUGUCGUAAGCCAGAGUCAGAAUAAUUUUUCGGAGACAGGCUCUAAUAGAAAGAAAUCAAAAUUGAGCAGAACUUCUUUAACUACAACAUUGCAUUGAUGGACAAAAUAUGUGAACGUUCAGGAUAUUUCAAUAAAACAGAGAAUAAUCCCUCAUAG